rnacentral:rRNA from 1 species
AACCGGCCUCAGAUCGGGCGGGACUACCCGCUGAAUUAAAGCAUUUAACUAAGCGGAGGAACGGAAACCAACCAGGAUUCCCCCAGUAACGGCGAGUGAAGCGGGAACAGCCCAGCGCUGAAUCCGGCCGCGCGCACCGCGCGGUCGGAACUGUAGCGUGAGGGAUCGGACCAGCCGGGUCGGGACGCGCGCGAGUCCCCACGAGCGGGGCCCUCACCGUAGCGGGUGAAAGGCCCAUGGCGUCGCGGCUCGCCCCGGUCGGUCCGGUCUCACGAGUCGGGUUGCUUGGGAAUGCAGCCCGAAGCGGGUGGUAAACUCCACUUAAGGCUAAAUAUCCGCGUGAGUCCGAUAGCGGACAAGUACUGUGAAGGAACGUUGAAAAGAACUUUGAAGAGAGGGUUCAAUAGCGCGUGAAACUGUUCGGAGGUAAACGGAAGGUACCGAAGGGAACGGCCUCCGAGGGUCAGCCCGGCCGGUCUCUCGCGAGCCUGGCCGGGCCCGUCCCUCUGAGGUCUGCGUCGUGACCGACUCGACGUCGCCGCGGGGCGACUCGGCGCGCUCGCUCGGUCCCCUCGGGGGUCGGCGCGGGCGGCCGGUCGUCUGCGCGGCGGCGGCGGGUCGUGGACUUGCCGCGGGUCGAGGGGCGUCGGCGGGACCGGUUCGCGCCGGGCCCGCCGUCCCCGCCCGCCGCCGGUCGACGGCGAGAAGCGAACGGGUGACCUACCGACCCGUCUUGUAACACGGACCAAGGAGUCUGGCGUCGGCGCGAGUCGUCGGGUGCCACGAGACCUGAAGGCGGAGUGAAAGCGAGGUCGUUCUCGGAACGGCCGCGCGCGACCGCGUGUCGGCGGCGGGGCGAGAGUCCCCCCCGGCCGCGGGUAGCGCGGUCCCGUCCCGCGCCGUGCUAACGCGGCGGGACGGAGACAGAGCGUCUGUGCCGGGACCCGAAAGAUGGUGAACUACGCUCGGGCAGGGCGAAGCCGGGUGAAAACCCGGUGGAGGCCCGAAGCGUUUCUGACGUGCAAAUCGAUCGUCCGACCUGGGCGUAGGGGCGAAAGACCAAUCGAACCAUCUAGUAGCUGGUUCCCUCCGAAGUUUCCCUCAGGAUAGCCGGCGCUAGUCGAAGCGACGAGUUCCAUCCGGUAAAGCCAAUGAUUAGGGGUCUCGGGGGCGAGACGCCCUCGACCUAUUCUCAAACUUUCAACGGGUGGGAAGCCGGGCCCGCACGGUAUCGCGCACGGGGCCCGGUGACGAUCUGAAUCGUAGUGCCGAGUGGGCCACUUUUGGUAAGCAGAACUGGCGCUGCGGGAUGAACCGAACGUCCGGUUGAGGUGCCCAACGCUGACGCUCAUCGGACCCCACGAAAGGUGUUUGUCGGUAUAGACAGCAGGGCGGUGGCCAUGGAAGUCGGAAUCCGUCAAGGAGUGUGUAACAACCCACCUGCCGAAUCGACAGGCCCUGAAAAUGGAUGGCGCUUGAGUGUCGGACCCACACCGGACCGGCGCGGCACGCGCGCUCCCCCCCUCUCGCGGGGAGGGGAGCCGGUGACAGGCCGCGUCGAGUAGGAGGGCGUCGCGGCGAGCGUCGAAGUCCGGGGGCCACCCCGGGUGGAGCCGCCGCGAGUGCAGAUCUUGGUGGUAGUAGCAAAUAUUCAUACGGGAACUGUGAAGGCUGAAGUGGAGAAGGGUUCCGCGGGAACAACGCUUGAACGUGGGUCAGUCGGUCCUUAGAGGCGGGAAAGUUCCCGUAGAAGCGGGUGUGCGCACUGCGAGGGUGCGGCGGCGUCGUCGUCCGACGGCGGCCGCUAACCCGGGAGCGUACUCGUAACCCCGCGUGCCUCGAGAGGGAAUCGGGUUAGCAUUCUCGAACCCGGGUGACGGAGAGCGGCCUCGGCCUCGCGGCCGGGGCGGUGCGGUGACGUGAACGAAGCGGGAGACGUCGGCGGUCGUCCCGGAGAGAGUUCUCUCUUCUCUGUAAGGUGACGCGGCCCUGGAAACGGUUCGGCCGGAGAUAGGGAAGGCGGAGUCCUAAGCGGGCCGCGGCUCGGCGGCCUCCGGAGCGCGGCCGUCAGACCCUUGAAAAUACCGCGGAGGCCACGUCAAUUUCGUACCGGGCCGUACCCCAAUCCGCAGCAGGUCUCCUAGGUUAGCAGCCUCUGGUCAACGGUACAAUGUAGGUAAGGGAAGUCGGCAAACUGGAUCCGUAACUUCGGGAAAAGGAUUGGCUCUGAGGGCCGGGUGCGCCGGGCCGAGAGAAGAAGCGGUGUCGUCGUGGUCCGCGGACCGGGGAGUCGGCCGUCGCCCGCCUCGCGCGGGCGCCGCGGCGACUCGGUAGCGUGGGCCCGCGCGCCGUGGGCGCUCUCGGUCUGGCGAGCCGGCGCGGGGUUGCGGUCCGUCCGCGCCCCCGCAGGAUCAACUCGCUUCGGUCACCGCCUACGGUCACCUCAGAACUGGCACGGACGAGGGGAAUCCGACUGUCUAAUUAAAACAGAGCAUCGUGA